UAUAUGCUAUUAUUUUAUAUUAUAUAACACAAUUGUUCCACUCUGUUUAAUGCACUUUGAACUGCAAUCAGCUGCUAUUUCUACCUGAACUGUACUAUAAAUUACAACUGAGACCACAAGUUUCUGCUUAAGAUGCAAUAUUUGGAUAUCAGAAUGGUAAUUGUGUUGUGUGUCGUGUUGUCUCAGAUAUGUGUUUUGUAAACUGGGUUGAAUGUAUCAUGUUGUGACCAAACACCAAGAAAACUUGCUAAUACAUGUAAAUGUAUAUGUUGAAUCAAAUCAUUCUGAUUGUAAAUUGGUAGGGAUUCUGAAAAGAACGCUUAGAGUGCUAAACCAGUAAGUGUUGGACCAAUACCCAUUCAAAGAAUCCUUGUUCUAAGAUUUUCAAAAAAGUAACUGUCUAGAGAACCUUUGAGGAACACGUGAGCAUUUUUACUUCAAAUCUUACUGAUAAACCUUAAUAAAAGAUACCCAUGGGAGCUAAUCAGGGAGCAAUAACUGAAAAUAGCACUUUGAUCACUUUGUUCUGCUGGAGAACCUGCUGUGGGAACUUGUCCUGAUCCAUAACUCUGAUCACAGAGAUGAGAAGUUGAGAAGAUGAGAUGUCAGGCAAGUGUGAGUGUGACUGUGGUAAUAAUGCUGCUGUCUGUUCUCACUGAGCUCAUCUUCACAAACCAGCCACCUUCCAUUCGUGUCUCUUGUAUUGUAUUAAAGCGUUUAUUGUCCAAUUUAUCAUGCUCGCUUUGUCUGGUCUGAGAAAAACACACUGCUGAGUAUGUAAGGGCUGGCCAGUUGUAACGCGUGUGGGAAGAAUAUUAAAUAAGCAGCAAGAAAAUCACACAAUGCCAUGCUGACAUGUAGGGACAUAUUCCGAGUCUGAAACAUAGGGAACGUACCUUGUAUUCAGAGUUGGGUUACACAGCUGCUUAAGUUGAUUUUCUGGGUUCUAUAGUACAGUCAAAUCACAUCACACCUCCAAGGUUACCAGAUUUUUUUCAAGGAGAAGUGUCCAAGAUGGGGUUCCUCAACAGCGUCUAGACCAGCACCUUUAAACACAAGCAGUUGCCUUUAAGCCUGAAAAAAAUCAAGUGUACAAAGUGGAAGCUCUUUAAAAAGCUAAAACUGUUAUUCAUCCAAAGAACCAUUGAAAAACCCUUUUUUUUUUUUUUUUUUUUGCGAGUGUAGAACCAGUAACCACCCAAAACCCUUUGAAGAACCUUUUUCUUCUUCCUACCUGUAAUAGUGUAGACCUUUGUUGACUUUGGAGUCAACAAGAAGCUUUGAAGCAUGUAGAACCAGUAACCAAACUCCACCUAGCUCCACUACUCCACCAUUUUGAAUAGCUCUUAAGUCUGUAGUUAUGUCUGAGGUAUAAAUGUACUGCUGAAAUUAAAUCAGUAGUGUUUUUAGUGUAAGACAAGUGGUUACCAACCAUGUUCCUCCAACCAUAAUCGUGCCCACGUGACCAUCUAAUCAUUAACUUAAGAAGUGCUUGAUCAACUAAAACGAGUGUGGUAGAUUGUGGUUGGAGAUGAAACCUGCAAGAAAGUAGAUCUCAAGGAAGAGGGUUGGUGACCACUGGUGUAAGAUAUGAGGUGUUUAUCAUAAAUUUCAAAUACCAUCAUACAGAUUUACUUCAUUAGAUCGCAUGUAAAUGGGUUGUUAAUUGCACCACAAUUUGCCCCCUGCUGUGUCUCUACAUAUCUUUUCUGCAGUUCGGGAGAUGUACAGUGACACGGCACGAGUGAUAUGACAGUCUUGUCAGUUUUCAACGAUGGCAAAAGAAGUGCACAUUGAGCCUGGAUUAAGAGUUUAAUGACUGGUAAAAUUGUAGCGCUUGCAUUCAAGGUGACCCCGCUGAGGCGAAGGCAGCCAGAGCAGCAAACGGAGGCUGUGGUGUGCUGACAAUAAUCCGUCCUGCCCUUUUUUUCUCUCUCUCUCUCUCUCUUUCUCUCCUCAUAGCUGUCACCUGCACCAUGCACCAUCACCAAGGCCCAAGCCAUGUAAUUACACUUUUAUUGGCUUUUGAGAAGACCGAACAAUUCAUCCACACGCGAUUCUGCGCUUAGAGACACGAGGCGAAGCGCAUAUAGAUCAUACUUACAGAUCACUCCAAGGGUACAGAGGGAAAGUGGAAAAAAGGAUUGAGUGGAGUGAGUUUGAAACAGGACUGAGUUUUGAUUUAGACCUCAGUGGUUGUAUUGGACGGAUAUCAAGGUUACGCAUGCUUAUCAGCGUCGCUGGAAAUCACACUGAUGGAGCAUGGAUAAUUCCACUUGCAACGUUGUAUUCUAGAAGCCUUUAUUUGUCACAUACACAUGAGAGCACAGUGAAAUUCUUUUUUUUGCACAUUCCUAACAAGCUGGGGUGAGAACGUCAAUCAAUGUCUCUGCCCCUGGAGCUGAGAGGGUUAAGGGCCUUGGUCAAGGGCCUAACUCUGGCAGCUUACAGUGCUGAGACUUGAACCCACAACCUUCUGAUCAGAAAACCAGCCUUAGGAGCAACGUAUACUUAGUAAUUUUUACAUGUACGUUAGCGUAUGUGCGCAGUCGUAUGCAUAGCGUUUCAAAGUAUACUCCAUUUGACAUGUAUGUGUAUGCAGGCAGUCGACAGUUACGCAUUACGACAACUUGUACUACCCUUCCUGGCCUACAAGAGUCAGUACAGAGCAAUAAAGCAGGUCUUUUAUUAUACCCAAUCAUGUUACUGACCUGUUGGCAAUUAACCUCCAGCCGUUUCUUUUUACGAACACUUACUUUCCCAGCAUUUAUUGCCCCCGUCCCAACUUUUCUGAAACGAUUUGCGGCCAUCGAAUUCAAAAUUACUUUAUUCUUUUUCUUAAAAUGGUACAUUUACCCAGUUUAAACAUUUGAUAUGUUUUCUAUGUUCUAUUGUGAAUAACAGGUGGGUUUAUGAGAAUUUGCAAAUCAUUGCAUUCUGUUUUUAUUGACAUUUUACACAGCGUCCCAUCUUUUUUGGAAUCGGAGUUUUACACAGAUGUAAAUGAAAACAGACAAACCGAAUUUUCCUCUGAAUACGCUAUUAAUGAGGAUGAACAACUGGCUGCUGGAAAAACUCAAGAACAAUCAUUCAAAUCUGUUGUUCCCUCGAGCAAGGACAACAUGCAAAUGGGAAUUGUCCGCAGAGUGCUAAGAAUGAAUACAACAUUAGGAAUAAAUAACUGAACUGGGAAACAAACUUCAAAAAAAUCAUAAAAUUGGGAAAGUUAGCUCGCUUAUUAGCAAAAUUAAUAAACUAAUUUUAGUAUUUACACACAGCGGUUAGCAUAACGUUAGCUCACUUCUGCUAAUUUUAGUAUUUACACACAGCGGUUAGCAUAACAUUAUAUCGCUUAGGCUAAUUUUAGUAUUUACACACAGCGGUUAGCAUAACGCUAGCUCGCUUCUAUCAAUUCUACCACGGUAGUUACCGGUAUACACUGUAACCCUACACUGGACAUGAGGUGGAACUACACCUUGAGGAUUAUAAUUUAUUAUUUUAUUCCCUUAAGAGUUUUUAUUCUAGCAACACAUCUAAGUUAUAAUGGAAAUAGUAUAAUGUUUGCAGCUUGGGCAUAUUUAGAGAAUGCUUCUGGUGAUCCAUUCCAUGCAUGGACGGAGAUGCCAACAUGUAGCUGUAGAAUUUACUAUUGCGGUGAUACUGGAGACACCUGAAACGUACACUUUUCUGCUUUUUCAGAUAAAGCAGCGGUAAGAUCUAUCACAAAUACCGUAUAAUUGGCAGAAAAGCAAACGUGAAAGGUGCUUUUGCUUCUCGUUGCAGCUACUUAUUUUUUUUCUUUACGACGACUUAUUGUGGGUGAGAUGUAAACUCACAAGCCUGAGCCAAUUCUCUCUUUGCUUGGUAAAAAAAGUGGAGAAGCUGCUAAUUAUUAAGUAGCAUCACAUUGGACUUUUGACUCGCUGUUUUCUUACACAUCUGAAAAAAAAAAAUAGCCAUGUCAUCCACUUUCAUAUGCUAAUAUAUUGUAAAAUUCUGUUGUUGUUUGUUUUUUUUUGUUUUUUUUUUUUAAAUCUAUGCUUGGUAGAAUUUUCUUGUUAACAAUAUUGGCACCUCUGCAAGGACGAUCUGGAAAAUCACCAAAGUACAAAAUUGGGUUGAAUCUAGUAUCCUAAUAACGCCUUAAACCCUACAGAAAAAAGUUGCACUUAGAUCUCCUUUAUAAAGCAACAACCCCCCCCAAAGACCCCUUGAGGAACCUUAUUACUAAGCCUGGACUUCUUGCUGUAGCUCUGACCUUUCCAGCUUCAUAGUUUUUCCCCUGAUAAAUGAAUCAGCAUGGAUGGUGUGAUGGUGUGAGCCGCAAAUGAACCGAUUCACUUAUUGUGUUAACAUUGCAGAACCAUGAUGUGUUUAGGAGUCAUGAGGAAGCACAUGUUUGAUGAUAUUACUUCAGGAUGUUACCGCAGGUCAGUUAUUUGCACUCAGCGUGGAUAGACAGGCAUUAGCGGGUACAAUAGUGACACCUGAGAGUCGGGCUUCGCCUGCCAGAGCCAGGCUCGACACCAUUAGCUGGGGUGAUGCAUUAAAGUUCUGUUCGGCGUGUAAUUUGUUUUCUCUGUCAAGGUGAUGGAUGUCUUGUUCAGCGGCACUUCCUGUGUGUGUUGUAAGAAAAUAAAUAAAUAAAGCGAGGAAGAAAACAAUAGCUCCAGGACAUUGGUAAAUGGGCUUAAAAAAUGUUAGGAGAAUAUUUAUAUAUAUAUAUGUUUUAGGUAACAGGGUGUGUGUUUUUUUGGAAGGUUAAUUGACAAGGAUAGCAGCAGGAGGGCUGGUGCCUGUAAUUAAAGGUGAAAAGGUAAUGUAAGAGAAGGAGAAGGAGGGCAGACAAGUGGCCUGAAUGACGUGCAGACUGGUGACAACGUGAUGUGAAUGGUUUCCUCUGGAUAUGUGAGUGUGAAUGAGAGGUGUGUUGUGGCAGGGGUAUUUAUCACCUGCCAUUCUCACUGUAUACCUGCAGCAUCUCACCUUCACAACACCUUCAGUGUCACAAAUGUCUCUCUCUCUCUCUCUCUCGUCCUUGCUCACCUCCAUCCAUUUUUUAUCCCUCAAUACUUCGCACAGUUUAAACGCUAAACUGGAUUGCCAGGUAUUUGCUGAAGCUGGGGUUUUAUGUAUUUAACACAUCUCGGCAAUCCCAGCAUUACACGUGUGACAUUUAAACUGGUAUCGGAGUGUCUAAUUGCCUGAACAAGCCUAGCAUGAGGAAGACAGUUUCACAAAUAUUUAACAUUACACCCCAGCGCUGUCGACUUCUUGAUUUCCGAUCGGUCAGAUGGUGAUUAAUAAUCUCCAGCAACAGCAGCUCUGACGGUAGUCAACUGCAAAUCACAGGUUUAUGCUUGUUCUAAUACAACCCCGAUUCCAAAAAAAGUUGGGACGCUGUGUAAAAUGUAAGCAAAUGUCAAUAAAAACCGAAUGCAGUGAUUUGCAAAUCGCAUCAAUCCAUAUGUUAUUCACAAUAGGACAAAUGUUUAAAGUGAGUAAAUGUACCAUUUAAAGAAACAGAUAAGGUGAUUUUGAAUCUGAUGGCCGCAACACGUCUCAAAAAAAGUUGGGACAGGGACAAAAAAAAGGCUGGAAAAGUAAGGGUUACUGAAAAGAAACAGCUGGAGGAACAUUUUGUAACUAAUUAGGUGAAGUAGCAGCAGGUCAGUAAGAUGAUUGGGUAUAAAAAGAGUAUCUUAGAGAGACAGAGUCUCUCAGAAGUAAAGAUGGGAUGGAAUCUGGAUGGAAGCAGAUGUUGCUCUAAAACAUGUAUAUACCUUUCAGCAUUGAUGGUGCCUUUCCAGAUGUGCAAGCUUUCCAUUCCAUAAGCACUAAUGCACCCCGAACCAUCAGAGACGCAGGCUUAUGAACUGAGCGCUGAUGAAAAAAGCCGGAUGGUCCCUCCCCUCUUUAGUCCGCUUUAGUUUAGAGGACACGGAGUCCAUAGUUUCCAAUAAGAAUUUAAAAUUGUGAUUCUUCUGACCACACAACAGUUUUCCACUCAGUCUCAGUCCAUUUUAAAUGAGCUUUGGCCCGGGGAAGACGAUGGCUUUUCUGGAUCAUGUUCACAUAUGGCUUCUUCCUUGCAUGAUAGAGCUUUAACCAGCAUUUGUGGAUGUCAUGGUGAACUGUGUUCACAGAAAGUGAGUUCUGGAGGUGGUUCUGAGCCCAUGCAGUGAUUUCCAUUACAGAAUCAAGCCUAUUUUUUGAUGCAGAACCUUACAAUUGGCUCUGUGAAGAAAUGUGUAUUUAGCAUUUGUGGAAGGAGUCUCCAAUGUCAGCACUGUACAGAAUUCAGAGGUAAAGGUGUAACUUUGUGGUUAAAAUUUUAAGGUGUCUCUAUGUAGUGUGCACUGAUAGACAGGACACAAAUGCAUUAACUCAGUGUGUGCUUUAUUUAAGACACUCCAAGAAUCAUAAUCAUUACCAAUGUCUGUAGGCAAAAUUAAACAAGGAUAAUCUACAAUAAAUAAAAAAAACAGACAAAGGUCAAGAUCGGGAAGUACAAAACUCAAAAACAUGGCUUGGAAUUAAAAUAACAAUAAAUGCAUUACAAUACUUAUGAAAGUAACUAUGACACAACUGAGUAUAAAUAUCCAUCCAUCCAUCCAUCCAUCCAUCUUCUACUGCUUACUCCUUUUAAGGGUCACAGGGAACCUGGAGCCUAUCCCAGGGAGCAUCGGGCACAAGGCAGGGUACACCCUGGACAGGGUGCCAGUCCAUCGCAGGGCACAAUCACAUACACACUCACACGGAGUAUAAAUAUAUGCAAGCUAAUUAAAGACUAAACACAGAACAGGUGAACACACUAGGGCAACAAACUAGAGACUUAACCAAAACAGAAAGAAAGACACAUGGCAAUGUAAACAAAAGCACAUGUUGUGAAAGCAGAGAAAGUAAAUAAAUAAAAACCGUUGGCCAAUUUCUUUAGUGUAAAAUGUAUAAAAAAUAAGUAAAUAAAAAUUAUAAGACAAUAAUUAACUUCCAGGAAGUAGCAGUAACUUCUCACACCACCGAACCAUGAUGAUUUCCCUGUAAAAACAUGUCCCCAAAUGUUUGUACUCUAUUCCUUACUUAUCAGCUUUAUGAAAGUGACAUUGCAUGGACAGAGUGAAAUUCAACCUUUGAAUAAGAUUAAGAUUAAGAUAUGUGUGUUGAUGUAAACAUAACUGGGAGAAAAAUAAAAUCUUGUAUUACAGGUGUGACACUUUUUUUCUUAAGAAUGGUCACAUGUCUGAAAUAUCCCUUCACAUAUUAUAGCCAUUACAUCUGAAAUAGAAAUAAAACAACGAGCUAAAAAUAAAUUAGCUUAAAUAUAGACUUAAGUGUACACUUUAAGACAGUACGGUUUACGUUAGACGUCCAGGUUUUAUUCAGUAGAUUAAAUAUUUAUGUGUUAUAUAGACAACAACAGUUUAUAGUCUACAGCAAACAUGGUGCAGUGUAGCUAACAUAUAAAUCAGUGGAUUACAUGCGGUAGCUUUUCAGCACGUGAUGGAAAAAAAGGAUUAUCGUGAGUGAAUUGUUGUGGAAGAAUUGCAAAUUCACUUUCUUUGUCAAUGAGUCAAGGACAUGGCUGUGAUUUUAAAAGUGGAUCGUUUGUUGUGUUUCGCAAUAAUGUUAAGCUCAAAAAGCAAACGGUCCUACUCUCAUGAGGAGUCCAGACUAGCAUUAGCCUACCAUGAGCUACCAUGACAGGAUAUUUAUUCAGGAUUUGUCAUAUACUAAUGAUAACAAGGUGGCAACUAGGCCACCUGAGUGUUUGUUUUUUUUUUCUUCUUAUGUACAAGACAUCUUGUUUUGUUGUGAUAUACAGAACGCUUACAUAAUCCGGGAUAAAUGUUUGUGCAGAAGAAUGCUCAUUAAACAUGAUAUUAUUCUGACAUGGAUUGGCACCCUGUCCAGGGUGUACCCCGCCUUGUUCCCGAUGCUCCCUGGGAUAGGCUCCCGGUUCCCCGGGACCCUGAAGAGGAUAAGCGGUAUAGAGGAUAGAUGGAUGGAUGGAUAGAUGGAUGGAUUAUUCUGACAUUCAUUUUGGUCAAAUAAGAAUGUUUACUUUACGUCGAGCAUGAACAAGUAUAGUCUGAAGUAUGUGUGCUAGUUUUAGCAGUUAUAAUGUACACAUAUAAUAUAUAUAAUUAUAUGUGUACACCAUGUCCAGUGUGUCCCCUGCCUUGUGUCCUGAGUUCCCUGGGUUAUGCUCCAUGCUUCACACGACCCUGUGUAAGAUAAGCAGCAUUGAAACCGGAUAGAUGAAUGGGAUGCCUGAAAUAUCAUUUUUGGACAAUUUCUACUAACACUCUACAUGAAAAUCUCCCAAUAUGUCCAUUCAGAUACGGUGUAUAAAUAGAAGCCACCCCCUUGCCUUUGACCUCAAAUCGAGCCCGACAUUUAUCUGUAUUAAAGCUAGAACCUUCAAUCCAUGAACCGGAUCAUGGAUGCUGCCACAUGCUUCUGUUUGUUUUUGUUCUUUUUCAUACUGAAAAGUGGAGGCAUGUGAGUCUACUGUCACGUAGCUUCUGCUUCAUCUCUGUUUACACACUGCAGAGAUAAUGUGUGACAACUGAAUCUCUUCACUCGUCUAAUCCAUGAAGCCACGGAUGAAAUCUCAUUUAGGGAUCAGCAGCAGUGGCAUCGUUUUCCCGAUAAGAACCUGCAACUCUGCAUGCAGCGGCUGGCACCAGCCAUUCAGCACAAAUACCAUUUGGCAGAGCCCAGGACGUAAAACAGCCCUAUUUCAAUUAAUGGAGCGACACCUCAGCUUCUCAGGACUGUGUUUGCCAGACUGGAUCGUGUCGUAUAAUCUCCUCAUUUAUUCUCAAAGCAGUCUAUUAAGGCGUGAAAUGAUGCCAACCAAAAAGAAAAAGCACGGCCUUCUCGAAGAGUCAAGGAUUAUUCAAAUGGGGAGCUCUAAGACAGUGGGUUCAGACUUUUUAAUUUUUAUUUUUUAUUUUUUAUUUUUAUUUUUUACUUUGUUCUUGCUUUCCUUUUUUUCAUGUGAGAAUGGAGCCACGUCACAAAUCAGAACAUCUGGCAGCUUGAGAUGAGUUAAAACAAAAUGGAAAAUGUUGCCAUCCAGUGUAUUGUGAACAUAUGAUUAAACCAGAGACAUUUUUUUUGAAAGAUUAUACCCUUCAUAUUGUCAAAUCGCAGGUUUAUAUUAAUGUGUACACUCUAAUAUGUUAUCAUUUCUAUAGUAACGACUCGUUCACAGGUGAAUACUCUACAUAAACGGAUUAAAAAUGUCUGCAAUUGUACUGAUAGUGCAGUUUUAUAUAAGGAGGAGUCUCCAGUGUCAGUGCUUGUAAAAGUCAGAGGUAUAGCUGUAACGUUGAGUUUUUACACCUUCAAGAAAUAGAUGUUUACGUUUUUGGCUUUCCCCUGGCAAGUGCACAACCAUGCCAAACAUUUGGUGUUUUCCCACUACAUACUGUAAACUCCACCACACUGCCUGUUUUCCAUACAUCCUAAUAACCUGCACCUCUUCCGUUAUUCCACACUGCAUGCCAAGCCAGCUUCUUCCAGGAUGCAAUGAAAUUCUUAAGGAACCUGUCACUUCCCAUGAAGCUGAACUCCGGAGAGAUGCUACUCCUCGGAGGAGUGAAGUGACUCAGGCAGCCUGACUGACUGUUGAUGGUCCUACUCAAUCUUCGCCAUGCACAACUAGCUGCUGACUGGCAUUGCGCGGAACAGAUCACCCUGAUGGCACUAUUUGCACAACGAUUACUUUGCCGCAUGUUUUGAAGAGAGGCCAAGAUUUUUGGCUCUUCUUGAAGCAGUCUAAAUAAUGCACUUCACUAAUGGAGACAAAAUCACUCGGUUAUUAAAGUGAAUUUAUAAUGAUGCAACAAGCAAUUAGCACAUUUACACAGCAUUUCGUGUAAUGAAUCUCAUGAAAUAUUGACUUCACCAGUUGCUUCAUCUUUUUUGUUAGAGCUCUGCGGUUAGCGUUUAGCAGCUACUGAUUGCACAUAGAUGCACAUGAAAGCACAGAAAAACAUAGUCUGUGUAAGGAAUGAGACACUUCGGGAUGUGCUGUUACGGGGAAAUAAUCAACGACAGGGUUGAUGUGAGAAAGUAGAGUUACUGUUCCUACCCAACAAAAGAUUAUUUUCCACCAACAACAGCAUGUCGCAAAGUAUUUUAUUCUUUUAUACCACAGGCAACUUUCUGAUGAUUGCAAUACUUUUUUUUUUAUCCGUUUAUAAUUGCAUUUAAUGUUGUAAAGACAGCAUAUCCAUGAGCUGUCAGUAAACUGUGGCUGUGAUGAAAGAAUUGUUUCACCCCAUCAGAGAGCUUGGUCUGGGUUAGAACAUCUGGGCAGCAUUGAAAAUUGUCAAUUCGAGAAGAUUCCAAACUGCUGUUUUGAUACGAUUUGACUGGUUCCAUUACUACAGAGUAAGAGUGAAUAUAAAAGAGCUAUUUGUCCGAGCCAAACUGAAAUUGCAUGUAAAAAAAAAAGCUGUAAAACUUAAUGAAAGAUAAAGGGCAUCCUACUGAGUUCAACAGCACAAAGCUUUUCUACUGACACACAUCUCACUCCUUUCUGAUCUUAGGAAAUCCAUCAUAAAAGCAUGAAAAUGGUGACGAGCUGUACGAAUGGAUACCUGAUCAUAAAUAAUUCAGAGCUAAGCUGUGCAUGUUGAAGUGGAACACAAUAAGGAGAGCUCCAUGUGUGUUAAAGUGUGCGUGGAUGUGCAAGAAUAGCUGCUUGAAGCAGUGAGGGGAAAAAAAAAACAACAUAACUUUCUUUUACAUCAUGGUGUUUGCCUUCACACAGUCGCCCACGGUGGCAGGAGCUCUUUCUGAUACCCUGUAGCUCUCCCUUAUGGAAGCUGUUUAAGGAAGGAGCAUUAUUAAGGGAGGGUUGUUUUUGUUUCAGAGGAUGAUGUCCCUGUAGCUGUGUUCUCUCUCGCAUUGCACUGAUCUCCAUCUCCCCUCCCAGAUGGUUAUAUUUGGCUUGCUCUCAAAAGCAUAUGGCUUCUUUAUGUUACCCAUACUACUGAAACACUGCAGCUUCAGAUUAGAGUGGCUGGCAC
ensembl:lncRNA